UCACACCCUAUUUAAAUAGAGUCAGGUCUAUAAAGAAUGUUCUUGGCUGUGAUGAUUAUACAUUUACUCUGUGAGAUCUACACUGUGAAGCAGAAACUGCAGAAGGAUGAUUUUAGGAAAUUGUAUUUUGUUGGUAUUAAUUUCAUAUUCUUAUGGACAGACCCUGACCUCCUCUGCUUCUGUGGUGAAGAGACCUGGAGAGUCAGUCACUGUGUCCUGUACUGUCUCUGGAUUCUCAAUGAGCAGCUACUACAUGAGCUGGAUCCGUCAGAAACCAGGACGAGGUUUGGAGUGGAUUGGAUACAUUGAUGGUGGCACUGGCACUUGGUUCGCUCAGUCUCUGCAGGGCCAGUUCUCCAUCACUAAAGACACCAAUAAAAACAUGCUGUAUCUAGAAGUGAAGAGUCUGAAAGCUGAAGACACGGCUGUUUAUUACUGUGCACGAGACUCACACUGAUACAACAGACUGCAGAGCCGUACAACAACUUACACAAACACGUCCUCAUGAGCUGUAAAUAUUCCCUCAGCAGGAAACUGAACCCCACAGACAUUUAUUAUAAACAAAAGAGGUUUUAUUUCUUUUCUCUUCCUCCAUUAACAGUCAAAAUGCUCAAAAUUUCUCUGUAAAAUGCUCAGAUUUUUUCUUUUUAUUAUCUCUGGCUGGUGCUUAAAGCUGAAGACAAACCUGAAAGCAAAAUGAAAAAAAAGCAAAGACAUUGUUUAAACUAAGAUGUUACAGAUCUAUUAUAUCAGUGUGUCAUGAAACCAGGCUGAAUAUUCCACACUGUUUGAUAAAUUAACAAGUAAAUAGUAGUAGAUUUGAUAUUUAGUGAAUGUGGACAUGUUUUUAUGUUGGUAGGAAAUGCAGUAUGUCUUUACUUCUGCUGCAUCUUUAUGAAAAUCUGAACUCUGUCCUGCAAAUCAAAAUUAAUGUAAAAUUCUGGAGAAUAUUUAAUAUCAAAUCAUUAUUGUGAGUUAAUCUAUAUGUUCCAUUCCAUCUGUAAUUGAUGUGUAAAUGAAAAAAGUUGGUAAAGAGGUUUGAUCCUGUAUUUUUUAUUAUUAUAUCAAGCAUUUAAUAAAAAGUUAACAAUAAUAAAGACAUUUCUAGGUAUCUAAAUAAAACCAGAAUACUUUAUAAAGGGUUUUUCCAAGCCAAUGAUUAAAUUCAUUUAAAUUUUCUAGACUCUGUGUUUCCAAUAAAGAAAGCAGUUAAAACCUCUGAAACACUGACACUGAUAGACCAAUAGAACCGACUCUUACAGUCACAUUUCCACAGAGAACGUGAUUAUUGAAUACAAACACUACAUACACCAAGAAUUGAAAUAAAAAAUCAGUAUUGAAUGAAAUUGUAUCUCUGAAUCUUCAGGAUUUAAAUUGGAACUCUGUCUCAUCCCACCACCCUUUUACGGCGCCCCGUCCUGUGUUUUAUUUUUCUCGUUUAAUGUGGUUAUAAUCUAGUAUGCGUCCUUACUCACCUGAAAACAGCUAAAGGUCCAAACCUCCCCAUUCACACCUGUCUCAAGCUUCUGAUUUGCUGGAACAUAACAUCAAACAGGAAUGAUGGAAAUAUUUAAACCAUACGUGUGAAAUAUAAACUGUCUGAUUACUGCAUAUGUACAAUGGCAGAUUAGACAUUAGAGAGAUGGAUUUGUCUAUAUGAGAAAACAUCCCCAUCAAUUAUCCCCUAAGAUAAGGAGUGUCUUUAUGCAAAUGUCCUUCACUGUUAUAUAUUUAAGCAACACAGACCAAGAGCUUUUACUGA